rnacentral:rRNA from 1 species
GACAGAGGGUGCAAUCGUUGGCCGGAAUUACUGGGCGUAAAGCGCGUGUAGGCGGCUCGGCAAGUCGGGUGUGAAAGCCCUGGGCUUAACCUAGGAAGUGCACUCGAAACUGCCAAGCUUGAGUUCUGGAGAGGAAGGCGGAAUUCUCGGUGUAGAGGUGAAAUUCGUAGAUAUCGAGAGGAACACCGGUGGCGAAGGCAGCCUUCUGGACAGCAACUGACGCUGAGACGCGAAAGCGUGGGGAGCAAACAGG